AGUGAACGCUGGCGGUAGGCCUAACACACGCAAGUCGAACGGCAGCACAGGAGAGCUUGCUCUCUGGGUGGCGAGUGGCGGACGGGUGAGGAAUACAUCGGAAUCUACUCUGUCGUGGGGGAUAACGUAGGGAAACUUACGCUAAUACCGCAUACGACCUACGGGUGAGAGCAGGGGACCUUCGGGCCUUGCGCGAUUGAAUGAGCCGAUGUCGGAUUAGCUAGUUGGCGGGGUAAAGGCCCACCAAGGCGACGAUCCGUAGCUGGUCUGAGAGGAUGAUCAGCCACACUGGAACUGAGACACGGUCCAGACUCCUACGGGAGGCAGCAGUGGGGAAUAUUGGACAAUGGGCGCAAGCCUGAUCCAGCCAUACCGCGUGGGUGAAGAAGGCCUUCGGGUUGUAAAGCCCUUUUGUUGGGAAAGAAAUCCAGCUGGCUAAUACCCGGUUGGGAUGACGGUACCCAAAGAAUAAGCACCGGCUAACUUCGUGCCAGCCGCCGCAGUAA
rnacentral:rRNA from 1 species